rnacentral:rRNA from 1 species
GUUUUCGCUACGACCCACCGCUGAGUACGCCUGAUCUCGUCUGAUCUCGGAAGCUAAGCAGGGUCGGGCCUGGUUAGUACUUGGAUGGGAGACCGCCUGGGAAUACAGGUGCUGUGUAAGCU